rnacentral:misc_RNA from 1 species
AAGUCGUAACAAGGUUUCCGUAGGUGAACCUGCGGAAGGAUCAUUAUUGAAAAUGUGUGGGUCUAAAAGCCCAUCACACUCUUCUCUAAACCAUUGUGAAUCUACCUUAUUGCUUUGACAGGUUUCCCAUUGUAAGAGAUGGGUCAGGUGGAUGGGGUCUUUAAGACUCGAUUCGCGCCGCAAACAACAUUACACCUUUCUUUUUAGUCUGACUAUAAAUUGGUCUUUGACAAAACAUAAUAAAA